ACUUACCCCUCACAUACACCUUGCAGAACUCCUUGUUGUUCUUAUCAGCAAUAUCCUUAGGAAUGUUAACAAUAAAUUCCUUAACUAAACCUUCAUAGCAUGGAGAGAACCCAACAACCGUUUUCAAUAGCCCAAUAACUUUUAUCAGGUCCAUGACCUCCUUGACAUCAACAACAUCUUUUCCCAACUCCCUUUCCACACCUACCCUUCUCUGAA
rnacentral:lncRNA from 1 species